rnacentral:lncRNA from 1 species
UGAGGAUGUGAAUAAUAGGUACUGGAGAUUCCAUGACAUAUGUCCAUUGAGCAGUGUUUUCUUGUGUGCAUGUAGCCACUGUCACCUUUCACUCAUCCUCUUUGUCAACAUCAACAAUCAUAAAAGGUAAUAUAAAAGUUAAAAUACUUGACUUGCAUUUGGUUUUACUU